rnacentral:rRNA from 1 species
UACGGGGGGAGCAAGCGUUGUUCGGAUUUACUGGGCGUAAAGGGCGCGUAGGCGGCCAGCACAAGUCAGUUGUGAAAUCUCCGAGCUUAACUCGGAAAGGUCAACUGAUACUGUGCGACUAGAGUGCAGAAGGGGCAACUGGAAUUCUCGGUGUAGCGGUGAAAUGCGUAGAUAUCGAGAGGAACACCUGCGGCGAAGGCGGGUUGCUGGGCUGACACUGACGCUGAGGCGCGAAAGCUAGGGGAGCGAACGGG